rnacentral:misc_RNA from 1 species
GAAAUGCGAUAAGUAAUGUGAAUUGCAGAAUUCAGUGAAUCAUCGAAUCUUUGAACGCACAUUGCGCCCGCCAGUAUUCUGGCGGGCGUGCCUGUUCGAGCGUCAUUACAACCCUCAGGCCCCCGGGCCUGGCGUUGGGGAUCGGCGGAAGCCCCCUGCGGGCACAACGCCGUCCCCCAAAUACAGUGGCGGUCCCGCCGCAGCUUCCAUUGCGUAGUAGCUAACACCUCGCAACUGGAGAGCGGCGCGGCCACGCCGUAAAACACCCAACUUCUGAAUGUUGACCUCGAAUCAGGUAGGAAUACCCGCUGAACUUAAGC